GAUUUCCGAAUGGGGAAACCCAGUGUGAUUCGUCACACUAUCAUUAACUGAAUCCAUAGGUUAAUGAGGCGAACCGGGGGAACUGAAACAUCUAAGUACCCCGAGGAAAAGAAAUCAACCGAGAUUCCCCCAGUAGCGGCGAGCGAACGGGGAGGAGCCCAGAGCCUGAAUCAGUGUGUGUGUUAGUGGAAGCGUCUGGAAAGGCGCGCGAUACAGGGUGACAGCCCCGUACACAAAAAUGCACAUGCUGUGAGCUCGAUGAGUAGGGCGGGACACGUGGUAUCCUGUCUGAAUAUGGGGGGACCAUCCUCCAAGGCUAAAUACUCCUGACUGACCGAUAGUGAACCAGUACCGUGAGGGAAAGGCGAAAAGAACCCCGGCGAGGGGAGUGAAAAAGAACCUGAAACCGUGUACGUACAAGCAGUGGGAGCACAGAGCAAUCUGUGUGACUGCGUACCUUUUGUAUAAUGGGUCAGCGACUUAUAUUCUGUAGCAAGGUUAACCGAAUAGGGGAGCCGAAGGGAAACCGAGUCUUAACUGGGCGUUAAGUUGCAGGGUAUAGACCCGAAACCCGGUGAUCUAGCCAUGGGCAGGUUGAAGGUUGGGUAACACUAACUGGAGGACCGAACCGACUAAUGUUGAAAAAUUAGCGGAUGACUUGUGGCUGGGGGUGAAAGGCCAAUCAAACCGGGAGAUAGCUGGUUCUCCCCGAAAGCUAUUUAGGUAGCGCCUCGUGAAUUCAUCUCCGGGGGUAGAGCACUGUUUCGGCAAGGGGGUCAUCCCGACUUACCAACCCGAUGCAAACUGCGAAUACCGGAGAAUGUUAUCACGGGAGACACACGGCGGGUGCUAACGUCCGUCGUGAAGAGGGAAACAACCCAGACCGCCAGCUAAGGUCCCAAAGUCAUGGUUAAGUGGGAAACGAUGUGGGAAGGCCCAGACAGCCAGGAUGUUGGCUUAGAAGCAGCCAUCAUUUAAAGAAAGCGUAAUAGCUCACUGGUCGAGUCGGCCUGCGCGGAAGAUGUAACGGGGCUAAACCAUGCACCGAAGCUGCGGCAGCGACACUAUGUGUUGUUGGGUAGGGGAGCGUUCUGUAAGCCUGUGAAGGUGUGCUGUGAGGCAUGCUGGAGGUAUCAGAAGUGCGAAUGCUGACAUAAGUAACGAUAAAGCGGGUGAAAAGCCCGCUCGCCGGAAGACCAAGGGUUCCUGUCCAACGUUAAUCGGGGCAGGGUGAGUCGACCCCUAAGGCGAGGCCGAAAGGCGUAGUCGAUGGGAAACAGGUUAAUAUUCCUGUACUUGGUGUUACUGCGAAGGGGGGACGGAGAAGGCUAUGUUGGCCGGGCGACGGUUGUCCCGGUUUAAGCGUGUAGGCUGGUUUUCCAGGCAAAUCCGGAAAAUCAAGGCUGAGGCGUGAUGACGAGGCACUACGGUGCUGAAGCAACAAAUGCCCUGCUUCCAGGAAAAGCCUCUAAGCAUCAGGUAACAUCAAAUCGUACCCCAAACCGACACAGGUGGUCAGGUAGAGAAUACCAAGGCGCUUGAGAGAACUCGGGUGAAGGAACUAGGCAAAAUGGUGCCGUAACUUCGGGAGAAGGCACGCUGAUAUGUAGGUGAAGCGACUUGCUCGUGGAGCUGAAAUCAGUCGAAGAUACCAGCUGGCUGCAACUGUUUAUUAAAAACACAGCACUGUGCAAACACGAAAGUGGACGUAUACGGUGUGACGCCUGCCCGGUGCCGGAAGGUUAAUUGAUGGGGUUAGCGCAAGCGAAGCUCUUGAUCGAAGCCCCGGUAAACGGCGGCCGUAACUAUAACGGUCCUAAGGUAGCGAAAUUCCUUGUCGGGUAAGUUCCGACCUGCACGAAUGGCGUAAUGAUGGCCAGGCUGUCUCCACCCGAGACUCAGUGAAAUUGAACUCGCUGUGAAGAUGCAGUGUACCCGCGGCAAGACGGAAAGACCCCGUGAACCUUUACUAUAGCUUGACACUGAACAUUGAGCCUUGAUGUGUAGGAUAGGUGGGAGGCUUUGAAGUGUGGACGCCAGUCUGCAUGGAGCCGACCUUGAAAUACCACCCUUUAAUGUUUGAUGUUCUAACGUUGACCCGUAAUCCGGGUUGCGGACAGUGUCUGGUGGGUAGUUUGACUGGGGCGGUCUCCUCCUAAAGAGUAACGGAGGAGCACGAAGGUUGGCUAAUCCUGGUCGGACAUCAGGAGGUUAGUGCAAUGGCAUAAGCCAGCUUGACUGCGAGCGUGACGGCGCGAGCAGGUGCGAAAGCAGGUCAUAGUGAUCCGGUGGUUCUGAAUGGAAGGGCCAUCGCUCAACGGAUAAAAGGUACUCCGGGGAUAACAGGCUGAUACCGCCCAAGAGUUCAUAUCGACGGCGGUGUUUGGCACCUCGAUGUCGGCUCAUCACAUCCUGGGGCUGAAGUAGGUCCCAAGGGUAUGGCUGUUCGCCAUUUAAAGUGGUACGCGAGCUGGGUUUAGAACGUCGUGAGACAGUUCGGUCCCUAUCUGCCGUGGGCGCUGGAGAACUGAGGGGGGCUGCUCCUAGUACGAGAGGACCGGAGUGGACGCAUCACUGGUGUUCGGGUUGUCAUGCCAAUGGCACUGCCCGGUAGCUAAAUGCGGAAGAGAUAAGUGCUGAAAGCAUCUAAGCACGAAACUUGCCCCGAGAUGAGUUCUCCCUGACUCCUUGAGAGUCCUGAAGGAACGUUGAAGACGACGACGUUGAUAGGCCGGGUGUGUAAGCGCAGCGAUGCGUUGAGCUAACCGGUACUAAUGAACCGUGAGGCUUAACCUUA
rnacentral:rRNA from 1 species